rnacentral:rRNA from 1 species
GAUGAACGCUGACAGAAUGCUUAACACAUGCAAGUCGAUGGGGAAGUGGUGCUUGCACCAUGGUAACCAUGGCGGACGGGUGAGUAACGCGUAAGGAACUUGCCUGCGGGACUGGGAUAACAGCAGGAAACUGCUGAUAAUACCGGAUAAGGUCAUUAAGCUGCAUAGCUUAGUGAUGAAAGGAGACGCCUGCGGAGAGCCUUGCGUCCUAUUAGCUAGUUGGAGGGGUAACGGCCCACCAAGGCGAAGAUAGGUAGCCGGCCUGAGAGGGUGGACGGCCACAAGGGGACUGAGAUACGGCCCUUACUCCUACGGGAGGCAGCAGUGGGGAAUAUUGGACAAUGGGGGCAACCCUGAUCCAGCAAUUCUGUGUGCACGAAGACGGUUUUCGGAUUGUAAAGUGCUUUCAGCAGGGAAGAAGGAAGCGACGGUACCUGCAGAAGAAGCGACGGCUAAAUACGUG